UUUUUAAAUGAGUGUCUGGAAUACCAGAUUGAUUUUUCAUGGUGCCAACUGAAAAGUAAAACCCAAUGCUGCUUACUGGGGGAGAAAAGAGUAACUAUAAAAUGUUCUUGUCUUGGAUGGGCCCUUCAGUAGUUUAACUUGCAGACUUUAUGAUGAUUAGAGAAGUAUGACAGGAUCAGCACCUAGAGGUUACCAUUAUAGUACCCCGGGUUAACUCCAUCUUGCAUAAGCUGAAAUUUAGUUUUUUCUAG
rnacentral:lncRNA from 1 species